UCAUUCAUAUUCUUGCUGCUUAUUGCACUUUGAGCUGUGGCCCAAUACGCAAAACUUCCAUACAUAAAUAAGGAAAUGAUGUACCGAAAAUAAUUGACACUGUCAAUAACUGUCAAUGAACUUAUGAUCCAUGUACACUUUGUUGAAUAUGCUUCAUUUAGCUUGCAGUUGAUAACAUCAGCUCUAGAGAUUAGCAUGAUUAAUGGAAAGUCAAUAUAGUGGAAUGGAUGGAUACACAGUAAACAACAGAAUCGCAAAGUGCAGUGGUGAUUCAGUGGUGAACACCUGGUGGAUUUAUGCUUUUCCUUGAAGUUCAGUCUCUUAGAAUGUCUCACACAGCAUUUCCUUUAAUGCAAAAGUCCCUCGGUGAGAGAUUAGGAGAAGAUUAAUCACAACGCAACACUUCAUCAGCAGUUUUCCAGGGCAAACAAAGGCUGCGAGGCUCAGAGGUAUCAAUGAAAUGCAAAUGUAUUCAAGAACCGGAACGGUUUUCUCCCAACGGAGACCGUCCCGCCGUUUAAUGGACCAUCACAGUGAAAAUGUGAUGACUGAAAGCACAUCCUGCCAUUUCUCCCUCUUCCUCUCUCAUACACACAGGAGGCAUUGUCAGAAUCUGAGGAGAGAGUACCAGACCGAUUUCAUCUGAUUAAUCACCAGUAUGUGGCCUUGUGGAGUAAAAAAGAGAGAAAAGUCAGG